rnacentral:rRNA from 1 species
UUAAACGCGAAAGACCUUACCUGGUCUUGACAUGUACGGAAUCCUCCAGAGACGGAGGAGUGCCUUCGGGAGCCGUAACACAGGUGCUGCAUGGCUGUCGUCAGCUCGUGUCGUGAGAUGUUGGGUUAAGUCCCGCAACGAGCGCAACCCUUGUCAUUAGUUGCCAUCAUUAAGUUGGGCACUCUAAUGAGACUGCCGGUGACAAGCCGGAGGAAGGUGGGGAUGACGUCAAGUCCUCAUGGCCCUUAUGACCAGGGCUUCACACGUCAUACAAUGGUCGGUACAGAGGGUAGCCAAGCCGCGAGGUGGAGCCAAUCUCACAAAACCGAUCGUAGUCCGGAUUGCACUCUGCAACUCGAGUGCAUGAAGUCGGAAUCGCUAGUAAUUCGCAGUUCAGCAA